rnacentral:rRNA from 1 species
AGUGAACGCUGGCGGCAGGCCUAACACAUGCAAGUCGAACGAGUGGCGGACGGGUGAGGUAUACAUCGGAAUCUACUCUGUCGUGGGGGAACACGUAGGGACACUUACGCUAAUACCGCAUACGAUUGUAUGAGCCGAUGUCGGAUUAGCUAGUUGGCGGGGGAACGGCACACCAAGGCGACGAUCCGUCGCUGGUCUGAGAGGAUGAUCAGCCAAACUGGAACUGAGACACGGUCCAGACUCCUACGGGAGGCAGCAGUGGGGAAUAUUGGACAAUGGGCGCAAGCCUGAUCCAGCCAUACCGCGUGUGUGAAGAAGGCCUUCGGGUUGUAAAGCCCUUUUGUCGGGAAAGCGGUACCCAAAGAAUAAGCACCGGCUAACUUCGUGCCAGCAGCCGCGGUAAUAC